GACUGCAGAUUGCAGAAGCACAGAAGAAGAUACUACUACUACAUAGUAGUACAUAGCACUAGUAUCUUCAGAGAGCAGGAAGAACAUAGUAGAUAGAGACAUAGAGUGCGCCAUGUAUAUCUGCAGUCUGCAGAGAUGAGGGAGGAUGUGCGUUCUUGUGGGGGGUUUGGGCCCUGUGAUCAGGAGAGAUGACACCGACAUCGCCGGAAUUCGUUCUUGGUCUUGUGCCAUGAUGAAUUGAUGGUCCGUUUGAUGCAGGUGUCAUCUCCCCUGAACAUAGGACUGACUGACCCUGAAUGGAUGUGUACCUCGAUGAUUCUUCGGUUUCUUCUGUUCUGUUCUGUUCUUGAUUUGCUUUUACAAGGUAAUGCCUGAUGCUAGUAUGCAAAUGUCAGCUUGUCUCCUCGAUUGGUUUCUCUUUCCAUGAUUAUCUGCAGGUGAUAAGAGUUGAUUAUCCAAGCUCUGACAUAGACGUGUGAGAAGGACAUAGGUUGCGGAGUCAACCACAAGGUUUGCCAUCCACUCUUGCCAGGGCAGACAGUAAUUUAGGCGUCACUUAGCUGUAAAAACGGGAAUACCAUUAACUACUGCCCAGAAAAACUCGGUGUCUUCAUUGACAACACAUGGUGCAUUCUUUGUUUGCUGCGUGGUCAAAUUUUUUGUGUUACCUCAUACGGUUUAUCCCAUCUUAGGGAAGAACAGAAUCGGAGAAUCCGCAGGCGAGACCGCACCAACCCGAGCGCUGCUUCGGUUUGGGCCGAAACGAUUGAGCGGCCACCGUUCAGCUGCGGCCUGCGGGCCUUCGGGCCACACGGCGAGGCCGAGGCCCAGCACACGCGUUCUGAAGACUUCUCACGGGCUGUGGCCUGUGGAGGAAGCAAACUGAAUGCCGCACCGCACUUUGUACUGUUAGCGCUGAUUAAUGGUGUGUCAUGGAUAAGUGAAUAUUUUGUAAAAAGAGAUUUUUCUGCGAAUUCAAAAAUCGUACUGUACCACGUUAUGUUUGUUAAGUGCAGAGUGCACCUAAAAUCUUUAAAACAUAUGGUAGAACAACAUGAAUGAAACUACUGAAUUCAGUGGAAAA